CGACAACAUAAUGCGCAACAGUUGCGUCUCAAUAAGGAAAGAAAGUAGAGAUGCUUGAAGUAGAAAUCCAUUGAGCCGUCGUCGUACAUAUUUGACCGAUAACAAACCAAAUGGUAUCUUCACGGUGUUUAGUUUCUUUCUCGUGUGUACUACUUUAAGAAAGAUCUAACGCAAUGUGAACGAAAAAAAGAAAAAAAAAACAAAUAAAGGAAUUUUAAAUAAACUUUAAUUUAAAAAACUUGUUCGCAUCGAAGUGAUCAAAUGAAAUUAAAACGAAGAUGCAACGAUGAACGUGUGCAACAAAAUAUCGAUUUCUCUUAUUGAAUAUCGUAAAAUGAAAUUGUUGAUUAAGGAAAAAACGAUAAGAAUAAAAUUACAUUUUUAAGGUAUUUUUAAUCAGGAUGACGGAAAAACGUCUAUCGUUGGGUAUCAACGUUAGUAUUCUACUGAUUCUCACGAUAUUUGGUAUUUUAUUGUCUUUACCAUUGAAAUUACUUUUGAAUACGAAUUACGAUGUUCAAAGUCAUGAAAAUCAAAGUGAAAACGAUACCGGUACAUUGUCAAACGUUAAUAAGAACAAAGAGAUAUUAGAAUUGUUAAUCGAUUAUCGUAAAUUGAAAUUAUGCAGAAGACAUGGUUACAAAGAUCGGAUAAGAUCGAUCUUUUACAGCGAUUACGAUGAGAAUUGCACGUACAUGAAAGUCCUUACGAAAAAGAAGGAAGAAAUUAAUCUCGAUUCGUUCGAGCAAGUCAACAACAACAACAACGAGUUGGUGCUAAAGGUGGAUAAGAAAAUAGAAAAGGAAGUGAAAAAGGUUGAAGAGAAGAAGGUGAAAGUGGAGAAAAACGAAGAAGAGGAGUCUCAAGAAUCGAAGGAAAUCGUUGUUGCAGGACACAUCCUCGUGACGAUGCUUCUCGUUUCAGCAAUUGCAGCUUUGGUCGAAGUAUUACGAAUUAGAUUUUCCACAGACAAGAAUAAGGAUACUUCUUCGUCGAGAGGUAACAUCCCUUCAAGAAAAAGCUCAACCGUUGAUCUACCGAUUCAAAGGCGCUUCUUACCAAGAGAACCAAUGAAGAGUCAAAAAUCCUUCGAAUUGUUAGGAAUGCAUAAAUCUUCUUUGCGUCUCUUGGGUGAGCGACCAGCCCCGCUUAUUCGACGUUCUUCCUUCCCAACUCAACAGGCUAACAAUAAACGAUCAGGUCCAUCGGCCACUGGCACGCCAAAUAUACGAAUGUCACGACGUCAAUCGGCUGAGUCCGAGGAAGAAAUCGGAGUACUUAUCACCGCUCUUCAUCAUCGUACACGUUUGAUCCGUCGCCAUUAAGGUAAAGUGCAUUCAAAGGAUGCAAUGGAAUUCAACGUCCAUCUUAUCUCGACGUAUAUCGAUCGAUCGACCGAACGAACGAACGAACGAACGAACGAAAGAAUCUUCUCUCUUCUUCCUAAGAAUCUCAUCGUUUGAAAAAGUUCGAUCCUCGAUAUUCCAUCUUAUGAGCAGCUUAUUCUUCAUUUAUUUUUUAAUACUUUAACAGGUCUUUUAUGCACGAUGCACACAACGAGAUCACUAUCUCUCCAGGAACUUUUAUCAAAUCCAACCUACAUAUAUAAAUAUAUAAAAAAUAUAUUUAAAUACAUACAUGCACAUAUUCAUAAACGUUUUGAACGUCAUUAAGGCUCAUCAUGCAUGGAGAGGAUAACACUUUUACGAGAAAUUCAUUAUUUCUUAUUGGUAUGAAUCUGACUGCUGUUACCAUGUAAAACCUUUGUAUGUCAUCUGUAUCAAACGGAGAAAUGACUUCUUUAUUACGUCCAUAUUUUUACUACAAAAAUGGAAUAUGUACUAAAAAAAAAAAAAAAAUUGUUUUCAAUCUUCGCAACAACUAUGCAAGAUCAAUUUAUUAAUGCGUAAGGCACAAACUACUUAUGAUUAGAUUCAAUAAAACAUCUCAAUGAAAUUGAACGACAAGAAACGAAUUGUAUGAGUUCUUUUAUACAUUCUAUUUAUGUAUAAGAAGAACCAAUGAAUGAGAUAGAGAAAUGAAAAGAAAAAAGAAAAAAUGGUAUAUAUUUUCGAGAACUAACGAGUUAGGAAAUAUUUUGGUAAUAAUAAAAGUAAAAAGAGAAAAAAAAUAAA
rnacentral:misc_RNA from 1 species